rnacentral:rRNA from 1 species
UACGAAGGGGGCUAGCGUUGCUCGGAAUGACUGGGCGUAAAGGGCGCGUAGGCGGAUGGCACAGUCAGAUGUGAAAUUCCCGGGCUUAACCUGGGGGCUGCAUUUGAUACGUGUGAUCUAGAGUGAGGAAGAGGGUCGUGGAAUUCCCAGUGUAGAGGUGAAAUUCGUAGAUAUUGGGAAGAACACCGGUGGCGAAGGCGGCGACCUGGUCCUUGACUGACGCUGGAGGCGCGAAAGGCGUGGGGAGCAAACAGG